GAAGCUGACCAGACAGUCGCCGCUUCGUCGUCGUCCUUUCGGGGAGACGGACGGAGGGGAGGAAAGUCCGGGCUCCAUAGGGCAGGGUGCCAGGUAACGCCUGGGGGGCGCAAGCCUACGACCAGUGCAACAGAGAGCAAACC
rnacentral:RNase_P_RNA from 1 species